GCGGUUGUGGCGAAACGGCAGACGCGCUAUCUUCAGGCGGUAGUGUCCUAGUGACAUGUGGGUUCAAGUCCCAUCAACCGCACCA
rnacentral:tRNA from 1 species